rnacentral:rRNA from 1 species
AGAGUUUGAUCCUGGCUCAGGAUGAACGCUGGCGGCGUGCUAACACAUGCAAGUCGAGCGGCAGCGAGGGUGCUUGCACCCUGUCGGCGAGCGGCGGACGGCUGAGUAACGCGUGGGAACGUGCCCCAAAGUGAGGAAUAACUGCCCGAAAGGGUAGCUAAUACCGCAUAUUAUCUUCGGAUCAAAGGAUUUAUCCGCUUUGGGAGCGGCUCGCGUCGGAUUAGGUAGUUGGUGAGGUAAUGGCUCACCAAGCCGACGAUCCGUAGCUGGUCUGAGAGGAUGACCAGCCAGACUGGAACUGAGACACGGUCCAGACUCCUACGGGAGGCAGCAGUGAGGAAUCUUCCACAAUGGGCGAAAGCCUGAUGGAGCAACGCCGCGUGCAGGACGAAGGCCCUCGGGUUGUAAACUGCUUUUAUAAGUGAGGAAUAUGACGGUAACUUAUGAAUAAGGAUCGGCUAACUACGUG